CCGGGGUGGUAUGGGAUACCGGGGGUCGGAGGGUUCCCCCAGAAAUUUUUCAUAACUUAAAUUAAAGUGAAAAGAACACAUAUUUCUACGCAUCUUCUUAUGAAUUUUUCGAUUAUACUUAUUCGCUUGUAAAUAGUCCAUAUAAUUUCACUUAAUUAUGUACCGUUAUCCUAGAAUGUCAUAACAGGCCAAGGCUCCCUUCACAACCUCUUGGGCCAAAAUCAUAGCUCAAUAGCCUACUCUAAAAUAUUUACAUACCGUACUUAAUUUUUUUUUUAAUUCGGAUACAUUUCAAAUGUGAAUUAUUAAAAAAAAUAUGCUGGCACCACCCAUAGUCACUGGCCUACAAAAUCUCAGCACUGUGUCACCCAUUUAACAUGUUAUUUUAUAUACCCUGUGUUGGAAUGUAAAAUAAAAUAAGGCCUAGAUAAAAGCUUGCUUCAGCCUGAAACUUAAGUGUGUUGGUUAGGUAAUAUUUUAAAAUUUAACAAAUUUUACCUUCAAAUUAACUCAUAGAACACAUCUUUUUAACAGGCCUUCUGAUUUCUAUUAACUCGCCCAAAGCUGUUGAAAUCCUGGGAAAAGGCUGUCAAAAGAAAAAAAUCUGAAAGAAACUGUUUAGUAUUGAUUCUUUGCAGUAAACAUUUAUCUGAUGACACGACGAUGAAGUUUAAGUUAGAUAAGACUUGGAGCACUUGUCAAGCUCCUUAAAGAUGACGCUGUACUCAUCGAUUAUGUACAGCAGUUCAGAAAAAAAAAAAACCGCCGUGGACAACUUUUCUAUGGAUAGCCUGAUAUUGUUGAGACUCCAAUUGAACCCAUGGAGAUUAAGACGCCAAGACAAAGCACAGGGAAAAUCAAACGGAAAUCAGCCAAAUCCACCACAGCAAACUCACUCAAAUUGAUAGUUCAGUUUCUCCAAUGAAAAAAACUCCAAAUGUAAUGACCUAAGACUUGGAUAAAAGAAGAAUCACUUUGUUUUUGUGAAAUGUUUAAAUACUCUGUAUUUGGACUAAUCAAUUUGUUUUAUU